rnacentral:rRNA from 1 species
AUUGAACGCUGGCGGCAUGCUUUACACAUGCAAGUCGAACAGUAACAGGUUAAGCUGACGAGUGGCGAACGGGUGAGUAAUGCAUCGGAACGUGCCCGGUCGUGGGGGAUAACACUUCGAAAGAAGUGCUAAUACCGCAUACGAUCUGAGGAUGAAAGCGGGGGACCGUAAGGCCUCGCGCGAUCGGAGCGGCCGAUGUCAGAUUAGGUAGUUGGUGGGGUAAGGCUCACCAAGCCGACGAUCUGUAGCUGGUCUGAGAGGACGACCAGCCACACUGGGACUGAGACACGGCCCAGACUCCUACGGGAGGCAGCAGUGGGGAAUUUUGGACAAUGGGCGCAAGCCUGAUCCAGCAAUGCCGCGUGCAGGAAGAAGGCCUUCGGGUUGUAAACUGCUUUUGUACGGAGCGAAAAGGCUCUCUCUAAUACAGGGGGCUCAUGACGGUACCGUAAGAAUAAGCACCGGCUAACUACGUGCCAGCAGCCGCGGUAAGAC